UUGACAGACAAUCGCCGGCAAGCUUGUCUUGCGGGAGGAAAGUCCGGGCUCCAUAGGGCAGGAUGCUGGAUAACGUCCAGUCGGCGCGAGCCGAAGGAUAGUGCCACAGAAAUGGACCGCCGAUGGCCGUUCUAUAGGAACGGAUCAGGCAAGGAUGGAACCGAGGUGUAAGAGACCCCGAGGAGCGUUGGUGACUUCGUUCCUGGUAAACCCCAUCUGGAGCAAGACCUAAUGGGACGCAGCUUCCUCGCUUGCGAAGAGGCAGCCUUUGCCCGAGGCGCGUCUGGGUUGGUCGCUUGAGCUGUGCAGCAAUGUACGGCCUAGAUAGAUGAUUGUCGCUUGUAGUGGGAGGGUAGUUCCCGUCUGAACCACCAAAGAGCACAGAACCCGGCUUACGGA
rnacentral:RNase_P_RNA from 1 species